CACUUUUUAUCUAUCUAUCUAUCUAUCUAUCUAUCUAUCUAUCUAUCUAUCUAUCUAUCUAUCUAUCUAUCUAUCUAUCUAUCUAUCUAUCUAUCUAUCUAUCUAUCUAUCUAUCUAUCAAGUUAUGCUCUCUAUUCAUUCUCUAUCCAUUUUAAGUGUAACACAGAGAGACUUUCUUUCUGCACUCUCUUUUCUGUGUUUCUCUGCUCCUCUUUUGCCCUCUGUCCUUUCAGAUGUACAACAGGGCACCGCCAUGGAUACUGGCAUUUGCUAGAUCGAGAGGCAUGCAGUUUGGCACAGCAUAGCGGGAGGAGAGAGAGAGAGAGAGACCAGGACAGAAAGAGCAGAAGAGGCAGAAGAGACGUGGCACAUUGCGAGGUUCAGGCGAAGGGAGGCAAGACAUGCGGACCGCAGAGAAAUCACCACCACCACACUGCGCGCUGACAGAGGAGUAGAAAAACAAGUGGCACGUCACAUCUAGAAGAUCACUGUGCAGACCGACUGUCGAACACCAACCUAUUCUCCGCGUGCAUUCCGUUAGCAGGUCUAUCUGGACAGAGCGGCUCUGUCUGGCUGUGUGAAGCCAUGCCACCGGGCCAUUACCGAAUCGGUGCCCUAUCAGCGCUACUCUGUCUCUGUGUGAUUUGGACCGGGUUCGCGGCGGAAACACAAGGUAAUGAUGCUGGGGUUAACUUUCUGGCUGGUGUGUGUGUGUGUGUGUGUGUGUGUGUGUGUGUGUGUGUGUGUGUGUUGUUAUCUCUGUGCUAACCCAUUUGAUGGAUUUGUUUGAGGUUCCCCUUGGCUCCUAUCCAGCAUGAAUGACUAUCACAACUUUGCUUUGUCUGUGUUUCUAAAUAGCAUAGGCUACUAGAAUUGUAGCCUAUUACAGUUAGAAUCAUGAUACAAAUCUUAAUUAAUUUCUUUGAGCACUUUCAAUUACGUUGGAUACAGUGGAGGCUCCUCAGAGGAAGAAGGGGAGGAACAUUCUACUCAGUGAAUUUCAUUAAAAAAAAUAAAACAUGAUAAACUGUAUCCUUUUUAGAUAAAACAUGUCACCAAAUAUCUGA
rnacentral:lncRNA from 8 species